GACGAACGCUGGCGGCGUGCUUAACACAUGCAAGUCGAACGGAAAGGCCCUGCUUUUGUGGGGUGCUCGAGUGGCGAACGGGUGAGUAACACGUGAGUAACCUGCCCUUGACUUUGGGAUAACUUCAGGAAACUGGGGCUAAUACCGGAUAGGAGCUCCUGCUGCAUGGUGGGGGUUGGAAAGUUUCGGCGGUUGGGGAUGGACUCGCGGCUUAUCAGCUUGUUGGUGGGGUAGUGGCUUACCAAGGCUUUGACGGGUAGCCGGCCUGAGAGGGUGACCGGCCAAAUUGGGACUGAGAUACGGCACAGACUACUACGGGAGGCAGCAGUGGGGAAUAUUGCACAAUGGGCGGAAGCCUGAUGCAGCAACGCCGCGUGCGGGAUGACGGCCUUCGGGUUGUAAACCGCUUUCGCAUGUGACGAAGCGUGAGUGACGGUAAUGGGUAAAGAAGCACCGGCUAACUACGUG
rnacentral:rRNA from 1 species